UCCAAAAAAAUUUGUCGACAGGACACCACCGCAAGAAUAUUUAGAUGGUCGAGACAGUUUUUGCUACGAAUGUUUGACACGUAAAAAGGAAUCGAAGGAACAUCGAUUGUAACAAACUGAAAAGCAUUGUACGAGAAAGGUUUUGAUUCUGGAUUAUAUCCAAAAGAAUUUAUUUUCCUGGGUGAAUACAUAGUUACACUUGAGUCAAACAAGAAAGAGGUCAAAGACGAGCAAUCAUGGCUUGUAGCUCACUCUCGUCGGCGAUGAAAUAAAUCGAAACGGAAAAUUUACCUGAGGUACAUACGGAUGUUUUGGAACUCAGACAUUAAUUGCUUUUAUAAAGCACUUCUAUAUAGUUUGUCUGAGGGCUGAGGCAGUGUGCAUAGCAAUCCUCGAUAAUUGAAAAAGGGGGUGUAAUAAUCAUUUAAACAUGUCCCUGAAACAUUCAAAAAUAAAUAAUUGGCAAACA